GGUUUGACCUCGGAUCAGGUAGGGUUACCCGCUGAACUUAAGCAUAUCAAUAAGCGGAGGAAAAGAAACCAACAGGGAUUGCCUCAGUAACGGCGAGUGAAGCGGCAACAGCUCAAAUUUGAAAUCUGGCGGCCUCUGGGCCGUCCGAGUUGUAAUUUGAAGAGGAUGCUUUUGGCGAGGCGCCUUCCGAGUGCCCUGGAACGGGACGCCACAGAGGGUGAGAGCCCCGUAUGGUUGGACGCCGAGCCUCUGUAAAGCUCCUUCACGAGUCGA
rnacentral:rRNA from 1 species